UACAUUGCAGCGUUUGCCUCCGAGACAGCAGCACCUCGGCUGCCCAGGCGCUGCCACACCAAGGGGCAGAAGACCCCACAGAGCCGGACACUGCUCUGUGUCCUGCACAGAAACAGAGGCAUAACGGGACACUUGGAUUCAGGAUAUCCCCUUACCCCAUCAAAAACUUAUGCUUAUAUAAAUCUUAAAUGACUUGCAGCAUGAAAACAAAUUGCCAGGCCGCCAGCUGAGAUUUCAACUCAUUUUGAGUCUCUAAUUAUGCUUGAACAGCUCUUGAAAACACUGAAAUCUGUUUCUGACUGCAUAGCAAAGCAUGGAAUGGGCAAGACAAAUAUUGUAGUAACCUUCACAAGCAAUCUGAUAGUUAUUGUGGAAUCUCUCCUCUCCCCUUUUUCUUCUCUAGGGAAGCUGGUGCUGAUUAUGAAAACACCUUCAAUAAUAACAUGUUCCAGAAAUUGAUCAUUUUGUUUAUCUAUUUUUAACAUUUAUUUCAAUAUUUUAAGCAAAUACUUAAUUUUCUGAUGCUAUCUUUCCAUUUCCAUUCUCUGCUGUAUGGAAGAAGUACUUAAGAGACACACUUUGAUGUCAGUACAGAUUCACAGACAGAUAAUUUUCUUCUGAACAAACUUGUUUCUGUAAAUAUAAAUGCAAUGCAAACAUAACUGGCACAGUCCAGUCUGUGGUAACAGCUGUUAUUAAAUCAUACCUGCUUCUAUUGUCAGGGAGUUUAAUAACCUCCACUGUGUAACGAAAGGGCAAACAACUGUGACUACACCCAUAUUUUAGCAGCAGCAGGAUACAGAUGUUAAAUUCUGGACUGUACUAGCCUCACAUUCCUCCAGCUUUGUAAAUGGCAUCAAAGCCAGCGUUUUUCUUUUUUAUUUUUUUAGGUUUUUGUGUUUCUUUAUCUGGGGAUCAUUUAUUAGGCUCUUAAACUUUGCUAUGUCACAUACCUGAGGGGAAAAAAAUCCAGUGCAAAAUACAAAGCAUGAAGCAUACUAUUUUCAGCAUUCCUUCUUCAAGCAUUUUCUGGAGCUUUUCAGGAGAAAAUAUUCAAUGUUCCCAGAGAAUUCUCUUGUAUGACCUUGCUUCUGUCACCUCUCCCUUGCAGAGAAGGAUCACUGAGGUACAAAUAGCACAAAUCCUGUGUUUUUCCACCCAGCUGCCACCUGCAUGCUCAGGGACCUUGGGUUAACCACUUCUCUGAACACCAGUAAAGCAUCAACUGGGGCUAUAUGGCCAAAUAAAUACAACAAAGAAGUUUUCAUGUGCUUUAAAAAUUAACUGGUGGUACAUAAAUGCACAAUCUAGCUGUAAACAUGUAAUUGAAAAAGACAAAAUUAGGACAAAUAUUGGUAACUGUCCUUAAGAACUCAUGCAACUUGCCCAAUCAUUCAUAUUUUUAUUGCAGUUGUCUUUCCUGAGUGCCUUGAAGGGCUUGUUACCUCAGCAAAGUACCUUAUUGCAGCUCAUUAAGUACUGGCAAAAUAUGGGUAUUUUUUGAAACCUACAUUACUCUGCAAAAGACAAACUGAUUUUUAAUUUCUUCAUUAUUACCAUCCCUAUUCCUCCUUCAGCAUUAGAGUUGUGUAAUCUCUGCCCUGGGAGGUUUUCAAGAGCAGACUGGUUACAGCCCUGAGCAACCUGGUGUGGCCUCAGAGCUGCUCCUGCUUUGAGAAGAGGUUGGAGCCCUUGUUAGAUCCCUUCUAACCUGAAUUAUUCCAUGAUCCUUUCUGGCAGUUUCUUUCUGUCUUCUCUUUGCUGUUUUUCAGGAUUUCCUGUAUAGACUUGGGGCUUUUUUAAAAAGAUUGUUCUCUUGGUAGAAAACUCAGGUGCCCUCUUCCUUGUUAUGAAAGAUUCAGUACAUUGCAGGAAAAUCAGUACUUCUGGCACAUUUGCAUAUUAUUCAGUUUUGAUUUAAAAGUUAGGUUUGUCAAAUCGCCUGGAACUUUCACAAAAUUGAAGGGGAAAAGCCCACCCAAGUUGUUUAUAUUUUUCCAUUCUUCUGCAUAAUCUCUGCUACUUUUUAACUGCUGUUUGUAUGUUUCAAAUUUUAAGUAUUGCCCUGUUGUGCCUGAUCCAUUGCCUUCUUGGCUUUCCAGAACCUGGUUUGUAAGAACAUGCAGUAAACAUUUUAAGUGAUUAAAGCCCUGCAAAGGAUGCCAGUUCAUCCAGGACAAUCAGCAUCAUUUCCCAGUUGUGGCAAGCUAUGUGGAAGAAGCACUGUUAAGACUUUUUGGUGCCGUGAUAAUGACUACAAAGGAACCACUGCACAAAUGAGUAGGGAAUACAGGAGAAUGAGCUGAAAAGAUGAUGCUAAAAUGAGGAACUGGAAGGUGGGCAACAGUUUUCUGGGGGACUGGAAUGUGCUCUGGUACUUUCACCUGUGUAAACUUAAUCCAUAAAUCAAACUGAAUCCAGUGCAUAAUUAAAGUGACAGAUAAUAACUCCCAACAAAAUAGGGGUGUGGGUUUUCUGGCAAAAGCCUCAAACAACUGGAAUAAUGACAGAAUCAGACUCUAAAACGCAGCCCAAGCUGCAGCAGUGUGAAAUGGUGGGCAGCAGAGCAUGGACUUGCACAGCAGCACUGCAGCUCUGCCUUGGAACCCCCAGUGAAUGGAAAGGGCUACAACUGUCUUUGGUUCCUUGUUUGAGAUGUGUGGCUCUUUGUUACAUCCCUCAAGGUUUUUGUGCCUUAAAGAUAAAUCUUGUCAGCCAGAGACAGUACCCCUCUGGUGUUUUAUGGAAUGUUUCUGCUCUCUUUUGUGAUGUACUAAGAGGUAUUUUCUCUGUGUUUUGUAAGCUGGUAGCUACUACAACCUAGGCAGUAUAAGAUGCCUGUUUUCAAAGACUGUAUUUCAAUUUUUUAUAUGUUUGCAAAAUGAUGGUGUCCUUAAAAGAACAACCUCAUCAUGCAGAGGACUGAAGGAAAACUCUAAUUUAACUAAAGAGCCCCAAAGCUGCCUCAGUUCAGACUUGUUCCCAAGAGAACAUUGCUGGGAGCCAACUACCACUGCUUCCUUCUUUGCUUUCUCUUGCUGGCAAGACUGAAUCUAUUUUUUACUGACAUGCCACUUAUAAUAUGCUGUGAAAUGCAGACAAAAUGCAAAGAGAAAUUGCAGGCUGUCUUGAUAAACUUUUGACAUCAUUUUCCAAAGCCUAGAAAUAGUUUUGUGAUGCUCUGAACUCAGGUAAGGCAGCAAUGGUAUUACAGCAGUUCAGCAUUUUUGGGGUGUAAUUGCACAGAAAUGUCAGCUGUGAGAUGAACAGCUCCCUGUGUGGAAGAGCAAACUCUGGCAUCUUUACACUCAGGCUACUGUACAGAGUGGCUCUUGGUCAGCAACAUGCCUGGGCUUCUGACUUUCUCAGUAACUGCCCAAAUCACUUAAUCUGUUGUUUGAUCAGCUAUGAAGUAAAAAUAAAAUCUGUAAGUACUGUUGUAAACCUGUUCAAGAUCUUGUGACAGAGAUAUUGUAUUAAUGCUAUUUAUUAUGGUAAACAUUUCUUUGCUACA